rnacentral:rRNA from 1 species
UACGUAGGGCGCAAGCGUUGUCCGGAAUUAUUGGGCGUAAAGAGCUCGUAGGCGGUUUGUUGCGUCUGCUGUGAAAACCCGAGGCUCAACCUCGGGCCUGCAGUGGGUACGGGCAGACUAGAGUGCGGUAGGGGAGAAUGGAACUCCUGGUGUAGCGGUGGAAUGCGCAGAUAUCAGGAGGAACACCGGUGGCGAAGGCGGGUCUCUGGGCAGUAACUGACGCUGAGGAGCGAAAGCGUGGGGAUCAAACAGG